AGCAGCCGCGGUAAUUCCAGCUCCAAUAGCGUAUAUUAAAGUUGUUGCAGUUAAAAAGCUCGUAGUUGAAUUUCGGGAUCAGUACGCUGGUCGUGCCUUUGGUAUGUACUGGUGUCACUGAUUCCUCCCUUCUGAAGAACCGUUAUGCCAUUUAUUUGGUGUGGCGGGGAAUCAGGACUGUUACUUUGAAAAAAUUAGAGUGUUUAAAGCAGGCUCGCGCUUGAAUACAUUAGCAUGGAAUAAUGAAGUAGGACGUUUGAUCUUAUUUUGUUGGUUUCUAGGAUCGACGUAAUGAUUAAUAGGGAUAGUUGGGGGCAUUAGUAUUCAAUUGUCAGAGGUGAAAUUCUUGGAUUUAUUGAAGACUAACUACUGCGAAAGCAUUUGCCAAGGAUGUUUUCAUUAAUCAAGAACGAAAGUUAGGGGAUCGAAGACGAUCAGAUACCGUCGUAGUCUUAACCAUAAACUAUGCCGACUAGGGAUCGGAUGAUGUUAAUUUUUAAUGACUCAUUCGGCGCCUUAA
rnacentral:rRNA from 1 species